UACGGAAGGGGCAAGCGUUGUUCGGAAUCAUUGGGCGUAAAGGGCGCGUAGGUGGUUCUGUAUGUCUACCGUGAAAGCGUACGGCUCAACCGUAUUUUGUCGGUGGAAACUGCAGGACUUGAGGCUGGGAGGGGCUGGUGGAAUUCCCUGUGUAGCGGUGAAAUGCGUAGAGAUGGGGGAGAACACUCGUGGCGAAAGCGCUCUGCUGGACUGCAACUGACACUCAGGGACGAAAGCUAGGGGAGCGAAUGGG
rnacentral:rRNA from 1 species